GGCCCCGGAGAAAAAUGAUAUGAAUGUACAGUCGGGCGGCGGCCACGUGAGGGCGGCAGCCAAUAGCGGCGCCUCCUGCCAGCGUGGCCCGGUCCCUUCCUGUUUGAUGGAUCGCCCUGGCGGUGGCAUUUAAAUUCCGAGCGCUGCUCCGUCAAGGUGACGCGCAGCCACCACCUCCCUCACUCCCCCCUCCUCCUCUUCCUCCUCCUCCUCGCCCAUCCUCAGUCAAUGCCUUGGGCUGCUUGGAGAGCCAGCCCAGGCACCCUGCCUGAGAGACCAUCCUCGCCCGCCCGCCGCGGGAGGGACAGAGCGGGGAGAGCCCGGCCAAGCAGGUGUCUUUUCUUGGGAUCUUUGGACUUGCUGGGAAAGGCAUCCAAGGAAAGAAAAGCUUUGCUGGCAUUCAAGGAAUGGUUCCCCCGCAGCAGGAACAACUAAACGCUUUCAGUAACAGGAAAAAAAAAUGUCCCUCUUUCCACUUGGACUUUGGUAUAUUCUCCAGUUAGACAAACUGUACCCAAAAAUCCUAAUUAUAUAUGCACACACCCUAUGGAAACGUCUGAACGUGCCCCCACCUUCUUGAAUCUAAUGUAUUAUAUGCAUUAAUGGGGAAAAUAUUUUUAUGUAUGGUUCAGAGGUAUUUUAAUUCCCCCCUACUAUUUUUUUCCUUUGGAAACUUUGGAAAUAAAUUAUUUUAAAGAUGUCGUCCCUCCAAUAAAUAUUCCUAACGAAAAAGGCA